UCUGCAAAGGGAGUUUCAGUGG
rnacentral:siRNA from 1 species